rnacentral:lncRNA from 1 species
GGAGCGAAGACUGCUGCUCUGUCCUGCCACAAGCUACGCAGUGGGGUGUCACUCCAGGACCCUGCUCCAUACCCGAACAUAAGAAACCCAAGGUGUCAUGUGAGAGGCCUUUGUGGAGAAACUCACAGGGAGAAGAACCAAAGACCCACACCCAGGACCCGUUCUGACCCAGCCUCUGGCCAGUACCAACUGCCAGCUAUGUGAGAGGCCAUUUUGGAACUUCCAACAGUACCAGUGGCCCAGCUGAUACCACAUGAAGAAGCACGGCCAGCCAACGCACAUAACUGUGAGAAAGAAAUUGUGAAUUUUAAGAUACUAAGCUUUGGGAUGGUGUGUGACACAGAAAUAAAUAACUGAAAUAACUGUCUACCACGUGCCAGGCACUAUUUUAUGCCCUUCUUGUCUACUAGGGUGAACAAAUGUAAACUGACAGGUGCAGAUGAAGAUACUGUGAGAGGGCAGAGGAAAUGCCACUAACCAGUUGAAGGCAGCCUGCAGGGAGAAGCAGACAGCUAGGUGAUUAUGGGCAGACCAGCACUGAUGGGCAAACUACCAAACUCAGAUCCCAGCUUUUGCCAGACAGCACUGCAUCUUCCUCCACCAGGUGCUUCUUCAAGGUAUUAAUAGGGUCUGUCUCUGUUUCUAACUCCAGUUCAUGUUUGGACAGCUGGGCAGUGUCUUGAAGGUUUCUGAACUUCUGGACCUUUCUGAAGUAAGAAAUUGGCCAAUUCUAGGUACCUCUAGAUGGGCGGUUAAUGAGCCUGUGUCAAGCUUCAGUGGACACUGCAUGUUCCCAAGAGAUAGACAGUUAGCAAAUGUUGUUCCUUUUCCCUGAUUUCUGGGGAGGGGAGUGUUUUGGGGUAGGUCUGUGACCCCCUAAUGUCCUCUCAGGUCUGUCUCCUGGUCAUUAUUUGGAUGUAUGGAAGAUACAUCUCCAUUUUGCCCUCCCCUCAUUUUUCAGAUAGGGGAUUAUUCUGAGCCCUAUCCUUACUCUGGGCAUAGGCUGUUGGGGCCAGCUUCACCCUCACCAGUUUCCUGGUAAACAACUCUUGAUUUUUGAAUUCUAAAUACAUAGUUCUUCCUCUUGCCCCUUCUGACAUUAUUAAGAUGAUCAUAAGCAUUCAAUGAACAGGUAUUUUAACAAAUAUCUAUUCCGUGCCAACAAUGUGUCCAGUUCAGUUCUAGGAGCUGAGGAUAUAGUAGUGAACAAGUGAGAAAGUUCCUACACCCAUGUAGCUGAUCUUAUGAGAGAGACAGACAACAAUAAAUAAAUGCAUAAUUUUGGGUAGUGAUACCUACUCUGUAAAAAAAUCAAGCAGGUUAAGCAGAUUUGGCUGGGGGACUAUUUUUACAUAAGGUAGUCUGAAAAGAUCUCUCUUAUAAGGUGACAUUUGAGAGAUCUGAAUGAAACAUGAGGCUAAAUAUUUCAGGCUAAGUGAGCAGGAAGUAUGAAGGUCCUGAGGCAGGAAAAAACAGGGCAAAUGCAAUGAAUAGCAGCAAUUCGGUUUGUGUGACUAAAGCAGGUAGAACAUUAGAGGCUGAUAGGAGAAGAGGGUGGAGGAGAGAUAGAAACCAGGUUAGACAGGGCUUCUAUACAUUUGGAAGUUGUUCUAAAUAAAAUGGCACGAACUUGUUUAUGUUUACAGAUAUCUUCCUAGAUGCUGCUUGGAGAAUAGACUGGGGAAGGGGCAUGAAAGAGGUAGAAGCAGGGUAACCAUUUAGGAGGCUACCAUAUAACCCAGGUUAAGAUAUUGGUGCCUUGGUCCAGGAUAGCUACAGCAGAGUUAGCAAGUGGUUAAUUCUGAUGAUUUGAAGGUAGCACUGACAAGACUUGCUGAAGGAUUGGAAAUGUCAUUUAAGAAUAAGAAAAGUGAGUUCCCAUUGUGGCUCAGCAGGUUAAGAACCUGAGUAGUAUCCAUGAGGAUUCAAGUUCGAUACCUGGCCUCGCUCAGUAGGUUAAGGAGCCAGUGUUGCUAGGAGCCGUGCUGUAGGUCACAGAGCAGACAUGGUUCAGAUCCCCGCUGCUGUGGCUGUGGCAUAGGCUGGCAGCUGCAGCUCUUGAUUAGACCCCCUAGCCUGGGGAACUUCCAUAUACUGCUGGUGUGGCCCAAUAAAAAUAAGUAAAUAAAUAAAAGAAUAAGAAGCACAUUGGGGGCACCUGUCAGGUUUGGGGAUUGGGAAAAUAAAUGAACAACAGUGCCAUUCUUGGAGGUAGGUGAGAACAGGAGUAGAUUGUAGGGAGUAGGUUGUUGCAGGGGGAUGUGUUGAAUUUGAGGUACUGGUAAGAGAGGCAGUUGAAUGAGUUGGGUGGUCAGGUCUGGAGAUAGAAAUUUUGCUUUCAGGAGUUCCCGUCAUGGCUUAGUGGUUAAUGAAUCCGACUAGGAACCAUGAGGUUGCAGGUUUGAUCCCUGGCCUUGCUCAGGGGUUAAAGAUCUGGCAUUGCCGUGAGCUGUGGUGUAGGUUGCAGACGUGGCUCGGAUCCUGCGUUGCUGUGGCUCUGGCGUAGGCCAGCGGCUACAGCUCUGAUUUGACCCCUAGCAUGGGAACCUCCAUAUGCCACAGGAGCGGCCCUUUUUCUAGGCAAAAAGACAAAAAAAAAAAAAAAAAAAAAAAA